UCUAGCCGCCGCAUCUAACGCCACUUCCUGCGAUCGACGCCGUGAAAUCCCGCGGUCGCGACGAAAAUGAUGCGGCCAGAAGGUUAAUUUACAUUUUUACCCUUAAUAUCUUUAAUAUCUACAAUUAAACCUAGCCCUAAUUAGACGCAGCCGCAUCUCUCUCCUUUCCCAUUGACGCAGCCGCAACCUGCUUGAGCUCUCUUCUCCCGAUUCACACCACCACUACGCUCUCUCAUCUCCAUAUCUCUUGAUCUCGAGCUCUCCAUCUCUCACCUCUCCAUCUCCCUCUCUCUCUCUCUCUCUCUCUCUCUCUCGAGCUCUCCAUCCCUUCUCAAGCUCUCUCUCUCGAUCUCCGACGCGACCUCUCUCUCUUAUCCGACGGAAACCCUUCUCCAUAGCUCUCUCUCUCUUCUCCGACGCUCUCUCUCUUCUCCGACACUCUCUCUCUUUGAGAUUCAAGCUCCGUUGAAACCCAUCUCCAGAGCUCUCUCUCUCUCUCUUCUCCGACGCUCUCUCUCUUCUCCGACGCUCUCUCUUUGAGGUAUAUACCAACAGGUGUUCUCUUCCAUCUCUUCCAUCACAAAGAGGACCACCAGCUUCAGUUUCCCGGUGUUGAAGAUUAUGACAUGGAGACAGUGAUGUUCCAUCAGAGGAAUAGAAGCUCUGAGUUGAACGAUCAGUGUGCUCUUGGUACUACUAAUACUACUCCAACCGAAGACAUCUGUGAGAAACCGAAGUCAGAUUUGAAUCUGAGGCCAAAGUAGAGUCAAGAGGGGACAGGAGCAAGCGUGUGUUAAGAUGGGGAUUGAGUUUCUUCUCUGUUGCAGUUGCAGGGUUUGCUAUGUGGGUGCAUCUGAAAGAUGAUAUGGUGAUUCUUCCUCAUCUUGUUCCUACUUGAAGCCUAAGUGAUGAACGCAAAAGGCAGCUUAGAACAUAGAGCUUAGGUUUAGAUUGUAUGUUCUCUUUUGUUUACUGUGUGAUGGAUCAUGUUCAGAUACUCAUUUGCUUUUUUCUAAUCAAAAGUUUGUCACAUUUCUUCUAAAA